CAAUAGCGUAUAUUAAAGUUGUUGCAGUUAAAAAGCUCGUAGUUGGAUUUCUGGUUGAAGCGACCGGUCGGGCGUUGAUUCGUCUGCACUGGAGUCGGUUUUGGCCAUCCUCUAGGAAAGUGCGUCUGGUAUUAAGUUAUCGGGCGUAUGAUCCUGGUCUUUUACUGUGAAAAAAUUAGAGUGUUUAAAGCAGGCCUUCGCCUUGAAUACAUUAGCAUGGAAUAAUAAGAUAGGACUUUGGUCUAUUUUGUUGGUUUGCAGACCGAAGUAAUGAUUAAUAGGGAUAGUUGGGGGUAUUUAUAUUCCGAUGUCAGAGGUGAAAUUCUUAGAUUUUCGGAAGAUAAACUUAUGCGAAAGCAUUUACCAAGGAUGUUUUCAUUAA
rnacentral:rRNA from 1 species